rnacentral:rRNA from 1 species
UACGGGGGGGGCAAGCGUUGUUCGGAAUUACUGGGCGUAAAGGGCUCGUAGGUGGCCAACUAAGUCAGACGUGAAAUCCCUCGGCUUAACCGGGGAACUGCGUCUGAUACUGGAUGGCUUGAGUUCGGGAGAGGGAUGCGGAAUUCCAGGUGUAGCGGUGAAAUGCGUAGAUAUCUGGAGGAACACCGGUGGCGAAGGCGGCAUCCUGGACCGACACUGACACUGAGGAGCGAAAGCCAGGGGGAGCAAACGGG